rnacentral:rRNA from 1 species
AGGAUUCCCCUAGUAACUGCGAGUGAAGCGGGAAAAGCUCAAAUUUAAAAUCUGGCGGUCUUUGGCUGUCCGAGUUGUAAUCUAGAGAAGUGUUAUCCGCGUUGGACCGUGUACAAGUCUCCUGGAAUGGAGCGUCAUAGAGGGUGAGAAUCCCGUCUUUGACACGGACUGCCAAGGCUUUGUGAUGCGCUCUCAAAGAGUCGAGUUGUUUGGGAAUGCAGCUCAAAAUGGGUGGUAAAUUCCAUCUAAAGCUAAAUAUUGGCGAGAGACCGAUAGCGAACAAGUACCGUGAGGGAAAGAUGAAAAGAACUUUGGAAAGAGAGUUAAACAGUACGUGAAAUUGCUGAAAGGGAAACGCUUGAAGUCAGUCGCGUUGUCCAGGGAUCAACCUUGCUUUUGCUUGGUGCACUUUCUGGUUGACGGGUCAGCAUCAAUUUUGACCAUUGGAAAAAGAUUAGGGGAAUGUGGCAUCUUCGGAUGUGUUAUAGCCCUUGGUUGCAUACAAUGAUUGGGAUUGAGGAACUCAGCACGCCGCAAGGCCGGGUUUUUAACCACGUACGUGCUUAGGAUGCUGGCAUAAUGGCUUUAAUCGACCCGUCUUGAAACACGGACCAAGGAGUCUAACAUGCCUGCGAGUGUUUGGGUGGAAAACCCGAGCGCGUAAUGAAAGUGAAAGUUGAGAUCCCUGUCGUGGGGAGCAUCGACGCCCGGACCAGACCUUUUGUGACGGUUCCGCGGUAGAGCAUGUAUGUUGGGACCCGAAAGAUGGUGAACUAUGCCUGAAUAGGGUGAAGCCAGAGGAAACUCUGGUGGAGGCUCGUAGCGAUUCUGACGUGCAAAUCGAUCGUCAAAUUUGGGUAUAGGG